CCUACGGGUGGCAGCAGUGAGGAAUAUUGGUCAAUGGCCGGAAGGCUGAACCAGCCAUGCCGCGUGAAGGUCAGUGCCCUAUGGGCGUUAAACUUCUUUUGUGCUGGAGCAAUAAUGGUCACGUGUGGCCAGACGAGAGUACCGUACGAAUAAGCAUCGGCUAAAUCCGUGCCAGCAGCAGCGGUAAUACGGGGGGUGCAAGCGUUAUCCGGAUUUGUUGGGUGUAAAGGGUGCGUAAGCUGUGAGGUAAGUCAGCGGUGAAAUGCCCCCGGUCCACGGGGUGAAGUGCCAUUGAUACUGCCUUGCUGGAAUGCGGAAGAGGUGGGAGGAAUUUGUGGUGUAGCGGUGAAAUGCAUAGAUAUCACACAGAACACCGAUUGCGAAGGCAUCUCACGGGACCGCGAUUGACGCUGAUGCACGAAAGCGUGGGUAUCAAACAGGAUUAGAGACCCUUGUAGUC
rnacentral:rRNA from 1 species